GGACUGGAGUCUUGUGCUGCUCGUCAUGAUGGAGGGCCUCAGGGGUUUUUCUGAAGGGACAAAGUCAAAGCUAUCAUAGACACCUGGCCUUCUCUCUCGAGCACAGCCAACGCCCCAGCUCACCACUCCCACCAGAUGCCAUUUAGAGGAGUCUUAAUAUUGAUUGUAGCUGGAGUCAGUGGUUCAUUACCUGGCAGGCAUCCACUCCCCCCUCCAGUAAACCAGCACAGAUCAUCC